rnacentral:rRNA from 1 species
GUGCCAGCAGCCGCGGUAAUACGUAGGAGGCAAGCGUUGUCCGGAAUUACUGGGUGUAAAGCGCGUGUAGGCGGCAGGCUAAGUCUGUGGUGAAAUCGCCCGGCUCAACUGGGCGGGGUCCAUGGAAACUAGUCAGCUGGAGGACGGUAGAGGUGAGUGGAAUUCCCGGUGUAGUGGUGAAAUGCGUAGAGAUCGGGAGGAACACCCGUGGCGAAGGCGGCUCACUGGGCCGGUCCUGACGCUGAGACGCGAAGGCGUGGGGAGCGAACGGGAUUAGAAACCCUAGUAGUCC